UACGUAGGGCGCAAGCGUUGUCCGGAAUCAUUGGGCGUAAAGAGCUCGUAGGCGGCCUGUUGCGUCCGCUGUGAAAUCCCGGGGCUUAACCCCGGGCGUGCAGUGGAUACGGGCUGGCUGGAGGCAGGCAGGGGAGAACGGAAUUCCCGGUGUAGCGGUGAAAUGCGCAGAUAUCGGGAGGAACACCGGUGGCGAAGGCGGUUCUCUGGGCCUGUACUGACGCUGAGGAGCGAAAGCGUGGGGAGCGAACAGG
rnacentral:rRNA from 1 species